rnacentral:lncRNA from 1 species
CAGAGGAUCAACUCCGCCCUCCGGGUAGCGCCGUAAAUUCGACUGUCCGACACUGGACCCGUGUCGGAUCCGCAGAAGUGGACGCGCCUUUACUAUAACGGUUGAAGUUGCUAAACCAAGAGCAGACAGAGUCAUAUCAGUGGAGAUUUUCUUUCCUGGGACACGGUUGCGCUGAACUAUUUGAAACAACAAUGAAUAGAAAGACUGAGCCUGUCUCCUUAUCAACCUUAAGACGAAGGACACGUGUAGACGUUCAAAAAAGGCACCAUCAAAUUAGGACAUACUUGACUGACAUGGACAUGACAGGAACAGUGGCAGAUGACAGAGUUCUUUCUGAGGACACUGCCCCACCUUCUUCAGCUGCACAUGCAACGCCAGAGGUGCAAGUUGUUAUUGAAGAUGACAUGGAAUUAGAGGCAGAUUUUGAUGAUGUGUACAUUACUCUGGAUGAAAAUUUGCUGUAAGUAUUUCACAAAAGUUGGUAUUUUUCCAUGUAUACACAACACCCAUGAAAUUCAUGUUUUCAAAAUACGAGAUGAAAUAUUUUCCCUCAAAAUGCCAUGGGGAAAUGAUAUUUUAUGCUGAAUUUAACAUGCAUUGACAUGUCCCAUCAUUCUCAAAACCAUUGACCGUACAUAGUCCACUAUAUUAUUAGCAUUAUUCAAAGAUUUUUGUGAGAUUAUGAAACAACACCCCAACACAUUCUGCCAAAAAAUGCAACAGUACUCUACAGUUGAGCUGAAGUUCUACUUGACCAUUAUGACCUGUAUUUUUUCCUUCCUUAUACUUCUUUCCACCUUGGGGCACCAUUCAGGUUAACUUUCAGCCCAUCUUACUUGCUUAUUUGUAUACAUUGUAGGCCUAUAAUUGUGCAUGCUUUAGUCCAUGUUAUUCCCUUUUUGAUGAUGAAUAAAUACCCUUUUUCUUUCUUUCUACAUUAAGGAUGCCUUUUCAUCUAAUUGAAUUUCAAGCAAGCGGGGACAUUGCUGUUGUGCCAGUUGACUGGUAUGAUGACGGGAUGGUGUACUGGCCCAGCUUUAAGAGCACUGAACGUGUGAAACGGGCAGCUGCUAACGAGGAGAAGCAUGAGCCAAACUGGCCAAGAUAUGACGUAAAGGUCGUCAGAACUUGUGACAACUACAAAGACGCCAUCAGGCUAAUGAAUCAAUAUCAGUCCGGCUGCAACGCCUCUGAGCUACAGUCUGAGGCAGAGCAGGAGGGUGAGCUCCCAGAGAAACGAGUCAGGAAGCCAAUCCAUCGUUUUGGGGACUCUGAUGAGAGUGAAGAAGAGCCAGAAAAUUGUGACUUAGCUUCUCUGAGGUCGCCACGACCUUCCAACUCGGCUGGUGUAUCAGUUGGAUCCUCAAGCACAAACCAAUUACACUGGCAGACUCCACCAUCUCGCCGAGUGCCAGGCAGCAGAGUCACUCCUCAACCUGGAGGAAACUGUCUGGGUAAAGUGGCCCCAUCUAGAUUAACACAGCAACGGUCAGUCUGUUUCAAAUCAACAGAUUGCAU